UUGAUCCUGGCUCAGGACGAACGCUGGCGGCGUGCCUAAUACAUGCAAGUCGAACGCUGAUUUUCUAACUAAUGCUUGCAUUGACUUGAAAAUCGGAGUGGCGAACGGGUGAGUAACACGUGGGUAACCUGCCUAUCAGAGGGGGAUAACACUUGGAAACAGGUGCUAAUACCGCAUAACAAUGGAAACCGCAUGGUUUCUAUUUAAAAGGCGCUUAUGGUGUCACUGAUAGAUGGACCCGCGGUGCAUUAGCUAGUCGGUGGGGUAACGGCCUACCGAGGCGAUGAUGCAUAGCCGACCUGAGAGGGUGAUCGGCCACAUUGGGA
rnacentral:rRNA from 1 species